AGAUCACUCUUGAUUCAAUUAGUAAUUUUGAACAACUAAUUGGGCAUUCUUUAAAAGGUUUUAAAAUGUCAAUUGUGUUAGUGAUUAAACCAAGAUAGAAGUGUCUAAAUCUAUAAAAUGUUUAAAGACUUUAGUCACUUAAUAACAAGACAUUAACUUAGUGAAGAUUGAAACAAAUAAGCUUGAAAUGUUUUAAAGCUACUACACAAUGUCUUCUUCCAAUAUACUCCACUUUUAUACAUUUUUGAAUGUAUGAAGUGAUUUCUCAUUAAAGUCAUGAGAAAUAGUGGGAGGUGUGAAAAUGGAUAUAAACUUGAAUGUGAUUGGUUUAUAGUUGUCUAAAGAAUAAUAGUACUUGACUAUUAUUAAAAGUUUGUAAUUUUAAUUGUUAAAAGGACUCAAGCUCUUCAAACGUUAAAAUUUUAUGUUGUGUGACAUUCUAAAGAAUAGUCUUUGAAUGUUGGUUUCGUCAACCUAGCAUAAAUGAUUAUAUGGACAAGUUGAUGAAACAAAAGGGAAAUAAGUUCAAAAUGAGUCACAACAUAUGAUUUAACAACAAGACAAUCCAAAUUCAACAUCUCAUGUAACAAUAUUGCUCUAUGUAGUUUUAAUAAAGAAUUAUAUCAACCACCUAGAAGGAAUGGUUGAGUUUCUAUAUCCUUAGUUGGAGCCAUGCUUCCACUAAAGACUUGGAUAAUUCUUAUAUGACUACAUUAAAGGUCUUAGUAUGACUAAAACUUGAAGUAUGGUGUAUAACACCAUAUAAUUUAAAUGAAUAGACUUAAUGGAACAAGUCACACAUUUCAAAUGGAAUUACUUGAGAAGGAAUUCUUUUAUGUGUGAUUCAUUUAAGUUAGUGGGAGCAAUAUGCAUUCAAAUCAAGAAAAUAUAAUUGUUAUUUUGAAUGAAUGCUAAGUUACAAUAAGGCCAGUGGGAGUGAUGUCAUAAUUUGAGCAACAAGAUGUGAAUAAAGUCUAUUCGAUAGACUUGAUAAAACAUAGAUGUUACUCGAGAAAUGACAAAACAUGAAUUGGUCAAUUUUGAAGUAUAGACUUGAAAUUGGACUUAUUGAUAUAGCAAGGCUAUCUCAAUAAUGUUAUAUGGGAAUUGAAUCUCAAAUGUUGUAGAUUUAAGAAAGCAUUUUUUUAUGUGAUAGGAAAUCACUUUCAUAACCCUUAUAAUGAAUGUGUCAUAAAAUCACAAAAGGGACACAUGUAAGGACUUGUGAAGUAGAUAUCCAAAAGUGAAGAACCACAGGGGUUGUCACUAUAAGAUAUUACUAAAUCCCAGGAUUAGAACCAAAGCAACUGAAAGAGUAUUAUUGCCUUUAAAGAAAGAAACAUCAGAGUGGGACUCUGGAAGCGUGCAUUCACUUAGGUUGUUAACCAAAGUGAAAAUAAGCCAUUUUAACAAAUGGAACUUCAUAAUGGAUGAAGUACUAAUCAUAUGAAUGAUUGUUAGUAUUGUACUACAAUGGUCUCAAGGUUGGAGCAAAGUUUGUAUAAGGUAUACAAACGAAAUAUAUGACGAUAUAUUGUUUUAGAAACUGCUUCAAAAGGUGUUUUGAAUGAAGGGGUUCUUAUAGAACCAAUGAUUGAAUCCAAACCAUAAGGUCGUUAGUAGGAUACUACGACGUAAUGGGGCGAUAGCUCAAGCCAUGGAAUCAAGGUCUCAUCAAAGUAUUUGAACACAAUAAAGAGACAUCAUCAAAUGUUUUGGAAACAUUUGAUAAGAAAAUCUCUUUUAAAUAAUAAAAGGGAUUAAUACAUAACCAAGUUAACCUACGAGCAUAAGCUCUCUCAACAAGAUGUAUAAGAUACACUAGUGAUUAACUUUAGUGCAAGUGGGAGAUUGUUGGAAAUAUGCCCUGAAAGUCAAUCUUUGGAAGAAACCUUUCAGGACAAAUGAAUUGAUGUAUGGAUGACUCUUAUACAUCAAAUGGCAAAGAUACUAAUUAGGACUAUCUCAAUAAACGAUAUAUGUCCUUAUUAAUGAAUCCAUGGAUAAUGGAUCGAUUGAAGAAGUAAUCUAAUGAUGUUAGACUACAGAGACCUUCUUCACAUAACCAUUCUGUCCAAAAAGGUUCCUGGUCAUUGGAUUAUCGGAGGGACACUGACAAUGCUUAGACCGGUACAUACUGUGUC
rnacentral:lncRNA from 1 species